UACGGAGGGUGCAAGCGUUGCUCGGAAUUAUUGGGCGUAAAGGGUAGGUAGGUGGUCUCAUUUGUCAGAGGUGAAAGCCUUGAGCUUAACUCAAGAAGUGCCUCUGAAACGGUGGGACUAGAGUUCUAGAGAGGGUCGUGGAAUUCCCAGUGUAGCGGUGAAAUGCGUAGAGAUUGGGAGGAACACCAGAGGCGAAAGCGACGACCUGGAUAGAUACUGACACUAAACUACGAAAGCGUGGGGAUCAAACAGG
rnacentral:rRNA from 1 species